CUGCUGCUUUGUGUUCAAUGCAGAUUCCAUUGUUGCUCGUCCAAACAUAACCAUGCAUGCUGAGAACUGUGGUGUGUGCUGGAAGCUGCUCUUCUCUCUGUGCCCUACUGUUUUCAUUCUUUCAACUUUCCUCUCCUCUUUUUGUGGUUCUCUCCUCUGCUGGAACACAGCAGAAACGCCUCAUGAAAACGAAAAGAAAUGUGAGUCCAUGAGACCAACACAAAAAACUGAGGAGGUCCAUGCUGCAUUUCAGAAACAAAAGAAGAGAAUGAUCCACACCUCGGACUUCAGCAUGUUUACUACUGUCAUGUACAACGUGGGAGUUGAAGAUUAAAAUGUGCUGUAGGGUUGUGAUGAUCUAUAAAGGAUGAGUGGUCAGUGUUUGAGCUGAGCUAUAUUUCACAACAUUCAUGACUUAAUGAGAGAGGUUGCUGGUAAUUGUCUGUACUAUUUGUCUGUUCUUUUUAUAUCUCUUUUUGUUGUAUUUAAAAUUACAUAUAUAUAUUCUAUACUGCUGUUUUUAUUCAGCUAUCACACUUUAGUUUUUACAUUGAAGUUGAAGUCAUAUAUGUUUGCAGAUGCUUGCAACACUUUUUCCCCAAUGACAUAACUUAAUAAGUGAGCACUGCAUGCCUUCAGGUUGCUUUCAGAACAGGUUAAAGCAGACGUUUGAAUCAAAAACUCCCUACAUCAUCCCUUUAACUGGAGCCAAAUCUGGAGUGAUGACCCUGAUCCUUUGCAGAUGCUUCUCUUUCCAACGUACCAUGGAACGCGGCAUCACUGUUGAUGUAAAGGAGGAGCUUAUUUCCAGAAAUGCCAUUCUGUGAAGAUUUUGCCUGUUUAGAGGGGCUGUGGAUUAACAUUCCUGCCCACCAUGAUUGGUAAACAACAAUCACCUGAAGCAAAAAUGGUUAAAUGGGUGCUCGGAAAGUUUUUUGUUUUGUUUUGUUUCUUGCCCACUUCUAGUGAGGUUUUGGCAGGUUUAUUUUGACUCAAUGUCAAAGAGACUCUCUAAAUGUAUUCUCUCCACAUAUGACAGUCUUUGGUCUCCCUGCUGACUACACUCGCUAUUCAGCAGAGCAAUUAGAGGUUUUGACAUCCACUUCUUUAAUAGGCCGAUGUCAUCUGCUUCAUUUGAAAAAGAUAAAUUUAUGAAGUCAUGUCUUUUGGAGUAUUGAGAAAAUGAGAUAAUCCAGAAGCAACUCCCCAAACAGAUUCAAGCCUACAUAGCAACCUUUUUUGGCUUUAAUUAAUUUAACCUAGAACUUGUCCUGUUCUCUCCCCAUAUGGGUCCGUGUGUGUAGAUGUACAUGCCUUGGUCAUUGGUAUCCUUGUCUCAUUUAAUAUAUUUUCUUUUUAAUUUUGUUUUUGUCUUGGGUUGAUUGGUGUGGUGUAUGUAAACAAAAUACAAAUAAUCACCAUAAAAGCAUCUAUAAGUUCUACAUUUUGAUCCACUGUGUA